UGCCUACGGGGCGCAGCAGUGAGGAAUAUUGGUCAAUGGCCGGAAGGCUGAACCAGCCAAGCCGCGUGAAGGACGAAGGUGCCAAGCAUUGUAAACUUCUUUUGUCAAGGGACAAAAUCAGGCUCGAGAGCCUGACCGAGGGUACUUGAAGAAAAAGCAUCGGCUAACUACGUGCCAGCAGCCGCGGUAAUACGUAGGUGGCGAGCGUUGUCCGGAAUUACUGGGUGUAAGGGAGUGUAGGCGGGAAAGCAAGUCAGAAGUGAAAACUAUGGGCUUAACCCAUAGCCUGCUUUUGAAACUGUUUU
rnacentral:rRNA from 1 species